GAAAAAAUAUUAAAGUUGAGAUAAAUACCUGGGCACAAUUUAUUAUUAAACCAGAGCACAGGAAUGCUCAUUUCAGUACAAGAUUAGACAGGAUCGCAAGCACAAGCCUGAACAAUCAACACGAGGAGACAUCACAAGAACACACACUCGUACAGGCACACAUCAGGGGGGACACACCUCGGCUUAUUUCGCGACGAACGAGCGCCAGAAACUAAGAUCAUGGCUUCAUCAGCGCAGCGACCUUCUGGACGGACGGCCUCGCCAACAGGUCAGUCCACCAGGCCUUCACAUGCGGGUACGCGUCGAACAGAGAUGCGUAGGGUGUAGCCGCCAAGCACAGGGUGACAGACACAUGGUUAAGGUCCGCAAGACUGAGGGAGUCUCCAGCCAGGUACUUGGACUUGCUCAGGUGCGCCUCGUACACUGCCAGCACGUUCUUGAUCUUAACAAGGUUGUCGUCAAUGACCUUCUGGUCAGUGGCUCCCCCAAGCAUAGGAUGGAUAAGGCACUCGAAGAGAAUGGGGCUCAGAGCGGCGGUGUACUGAUGGGCCUCCACCUCGAGCCACACAUCCACCAUUGCUGACUCCUUGAUGUCGCCCUCCUUCAACAGCUCUGGCUUGUUCUUGCGGCACGCAUACUUGCAAAUAGCACGUGAUUCUAAUGCGAAGAGAAAAAGAAAAUAGAACCAGAGUUAUGAUGAUUCUGAAGGGAGUAUGGUACUAUUUUAUUCCAUUUCAAUAAAUCGGUCUAAAACUAGUAAAAUGAUCAUUUCUAAACUUGAUUAGAUUUCAAAUUAGAACCCAUAAGCAUAGUAUAUGAUUGCUUGGGAAACCUUACCAUAACUCAUGUUUUUGUCUUCCGACGAAGCUUGUGGUUGGUAACUAUAUAAUUAUUACAUCAUCAUUCUAAUCUCAAGCUUCAAGCAUACGAGGGUAGUUGACGAAAACUCCAAAAAGGUAUAACUUGACUCCUAAUAUAAUGCCAGACGGCAGCUAACAAUUAGACAACAUUGUUUUUUUACUCAUGUGAUUUGUGAAAAAUACCUUCAAAGGUUUAUCAUUAAUCCAAAUGAAACUGUUUCUUUGUUUCUAGUAAAGGCUCAGGUACAAUUUAAGCCCAAGUGGAGAUGCUAGCUUUGUUAUACUACAAGGCAACAACAUUAACAGCAAAACAAACAACCACAACAACAAUAAUGCAAAAGCAUCAUGACCCGUUAUAGUUCUGUUUAUGAGGGGUAGAAAAGAGAGAACGUCUCAAGAGGUAGCAUCAUACCGAAGACGUACAAGUCACCAUCCUGCAAAGCUGGCACCUGGCCAAAGGGCUGCAGAGAACAACAUGAAGACAGUGAGUUUUAUCAUAUGUCACACCUCUAAAAACAGAAACCACAUGUCACAGUUACUAUCACACUAAGAUUAGUCUCUCUAUGAGAUGCUGCUGUAGUGACUGUUUUAUGUUUUGCUGUCAACUUUCUGAGCAUUCACAUGUGCUUGGGACUCUUGGGUAAAUGGUGUAAGAUAGUUUGCUGAACCAAGGAUCGUCUGUUCCAUGAGCAACACAGGGAAGGCCUCAUACUGGAAGAGAAUAUGCCUCUUGCAAACCUUAACAUCCACCCUAUUAUUACCACACCUUACCUACCAUCAAGCAAAUCUGAUAGAUGUAUGUGGUGUAUUGAUAAGAAACAAGUCAAAGGAUAGGGAUGACUAACCUAUAAGAUCUACAAAAAAAUUAAAAAAUAAUCGAACUAGCAGAGGAUUAAAGGGCACAUCCAGAUCCAAUCUUUUGGUACAAAGUGACACAAGAGUAACAGGGUGGGUGCUGGCGUCGGUGCUGGGUGCAGGAAGUGCUUCGGAUUUGCUCACACUGUAUACUGCUUGAGAUUGGGAUUUGCUGCAAGAUUAAUUUGUCAAGGUACCUACGAACUAGCAGAGCACUAACACAUCUAGAACAAAUUUCCACACCGAAUCCAAAUCUUGUAUUUACGAGGUUUAGGGGAAGACGUAAAAUAACGCACUUGAUACAGUGAAGUAGGUGGCCGGUGGCGUGGGAAGCGUGGAUGUGGGGAAAAUAUGAUACUGUAUGAUUUUAUCCACACUGCAAGUGGCCUAAAGUCAAUUGACUAAAAGAUUGGGUAGCAGCGGAGGUACUAAUUAAGGUCACCACGCGGUCCACGCCCAAAUGGCUCGCCAAUCUGAGACGAGCUGCGGAAAAACUCAUGCCGUAUACUCGAAUGACUUGUAAAUAUCGAACCCCAGUCUCGAAUCGUGAUACUUUUUUCUUCUGAAAUUCGAAUCGAGAUACUAGAUUAUACGAGAGGGACAGCGACAUCUCUCCGGCCCCCGUUAAAAUAAAUAAACAGUGAUAGAGGCAUGGAAGCGACCCCUCGCCGGGAGUUGACUGACUUUUGUUCCGCCGAUCGCAGCAGGAGGACCGAACGAAUCGACAUCAUCCUCGUGAAAUUAGAGGCGAGCAGACGGCACAGGGCCGGACCAUCGACAGUCACGGAUGGUAAAUUCAAGGGGAGGGCGGCAGUUAGGGCAUGGGCACGUACGUUCCUGGCGAGGUGGUCGGGGCUCUUGUGCUCGCCGGUGCCGAAGUUGAUGGGGACGAGCUCGUACUCGACGCCGGCCUCCUCCAGCGCCGCCACGCACCUGGUGACGUUCCACGACAGGGUCGCGCCGUACAGCUUCACCGGAGCCAUCUCUUCUCACUCUGCAACGCACUCGAACCUUUUUUCUCUCUUCUUCUCGGUAGGUAAAGCCGCUGCGGAUGGGAUGGGAUGGAGAAGACCACGCUCGGGGUCUCGGCUAAAUAGGCGACGGAGGGUUUGCUCCCUUCCAACGGAGCAGGUGCGGUGCAGCCGUGGAGUGGGAGAGGGAGAGGGAGCGGGUUGGUGAGGUUAGGUGGAAGGUGCGGCUGGUCGAUGGCCCCCGCGCCUCUAGGUGCUUCCGUUUCUUCAACCAUUUCGAUUAGUGCUCCUGUUUCGAAAAAAGAAAUAGCAGUACUCCUCAAUUUUAUUUUAUUUUUGCACGAGCUUUUUUCUAGUACUCCACUCUAUUCUGUGUCUGUAUAGUUGGUUUUCACUUUUCAGCGACCGACCGACGCAAGUGAUGACGCUCGGUAGUGCGCCAGCGGCGCAUCGAGAUCCGCGCAUCGCCUUUCUCCAUCACUUUUAGUUUUUAUUGAUUGAUUAAUUUUGAGCUUCUUCCGAUGAAGCUUCGUCAGCACUUUUAGUUCGGCCGGAAAUUAAGUUUGUUUCGAACAAUCUCCGCUUGGUUUACUUCCUUUUUCUCUACGGGACGCCUGUGCACACUCUUUUUUUAUUUUUAAACACAGAACAAUCAAAGAUGCUUAUAUAUACAUAUAUCACGAUGUACACACGCACGAACACUCUAGAUGCACACCCUACCCCUAAGCUUCAAUGAGAUACUGAACCGACACACAAUCUUAAGAUGGACGAAGUUAUCGCAAACACCUCAUAGUGACAAAAACGUCUUCUUCCACUGAACGAAAUCGUUCGGAUUGGCUGCAAAACUAAUGCCCAAGCCUCACCUAAGGCUUGAACAAUGUGGUGGUUUAGAGCAUCUCUAGCGGAUCCCAUAUAAACUCGUCGGACCUUUUACAUGACCCGUGAAAAGUUUGGCCCGAGCUGAUCCUAUAAAAAAGGCCCGGCUCAUAAAACCAUGGCGUCUGCGCUAUAUUUACCGGAUCUGGCUGAUUUAGGGUUCCUAUACCGUAAAUCCUGAACCCACCUCCGCCGCAAAUUCUCUGUCUCCGGUGCCAAAUAUCUCUCUCUCUCUCUCGCUCUCUCUCUCUCUCUCGCUCUCUCUCUCUCUCUCUCGCUCUCUCUCUUCGGUGUUUUCCCCACGCACAGCCAUUCUUCAACCACCUCGAUGUCGCGCGCGUGGUGGCCGAGGGGGGAGUGGCGACUCGCUACCGCACAAGCGAGCCCGCCAUGACGACGAGGCUAGGACCCCUGUGGAGGAAUGGCGCCAUGUGCAGGCGAGAGAGCGUGGCGGCCUCUCCCGCAGCGGCGGCCGGAGGAGUGGAGGGAUUUCGAACGCCUCCACGACAUCAUUUGUUCGAUCACCAAGCACCUCCGCGAGGCGGAGCGCGAGUUUGCCGAGGCAGAGGAGCCGGUCACCGCCGGAGAAGAAGGUGCAUCCGCGAGGCGGAGCACAAGUUCGCCGAGGCGAAGGAGUCGGUCGCCGCUGGAGAAGAAGGCGCCGCCACGCGGCUCGAGGCGGCCAAGGAAGCCAAGAAGGAGUACGACCUUGCCUUUGUCCUCUCCAGCUCCGCAAUGGAAUAUCAUCUUCAUGUAAAGAAGGAUGAGUAGUUUAGAUUAUGUUUAAAGUUAGCGUGUUUAACUUUGUGCGAUGAACUAUGCUUAAAUUCCUGCGAAGUAUGGUGACGAAAACUAGCGCCCGGUCAGUGACCGGACGUGUCCGUUUUAAGCCCCUAUUUAUCCUUCCGCACAGCCAUACUUCUUAUAUUUCUUCUCAUAUGCCCGGUCACUUGUACGUGAUUGAUGGAGAUGAAGAGAGAGAAAAAAAAAAAAGAGAAAAGGUGGUCCGAGGUGGGACCACAUCCUAUGUGGCGGAAUGACCGGGCGCACCCAGGCGCGUCCGCGAGCCCUCAUAUCCUUUUCAUAUUUGAGAUGGAUAUGAUGGUUUGCGGACAGCCCGAGCAUAUAGAAAUGAUACGAGCGAUCCGAUGGGUCACAUUUUUUCAUUUCUUUUCUGUCCGAUCAAUAACCGGACGCAUCCCUGGAUGUACGAGUGAUGGUUUGAGGUGUCCAGCUAUAGACGCUCUUACGUCCUUCAGAAUAUCCGAACCUCGCUCCCGGCAUCGGACGUAGUUUCCUUGCAAAAGAGGAGAUUGAUUUAGAAGAGUACUGUGUGCACUCUGCAUUAAUUAAGGUCGGUGCAAACAACGUUGGAAGUCGUGAUGGGAACUAACUGCGUAGAAAAUCCUGGAUAACUCCGCAGUGAUGCAACGAAUUGUGCGUGUCAGCAGUGACCAGCGUUUGCUCUACUUGUCAACGGUUGCUGAUUGUGAUUGAGCAACCGGCCAAGGAGUAGUAGCUCAGAGUCAAAUAUCCACCAAAAUAUACAAGGACACACACGUAGUGCAGUUGACAAUGAAGCAAAAAACUCUUCCAAAAACACACUCGCAGAAAGUAAAGAAGAAAUCACGUGUAGACGUAUGGAGCGGGAGCACGUCUAGCGCACCGGGACAAGUCUUGGUUCUCUCGUAACUGGAGGCGAACAUCGUUAAGAAUCUUUUUCAUGAGCAGAGCUGCUCUGUGUUCCGCAUCAUAGGCGGUAACCCAAGUAUGAUUGAUUCUUCUUAUUUCUAUCAGCGCCUAGAAAAAGGGGCAAAGUGGAACACGAAUAUGGCUUUAUGUCGCCAAAAGCAUAUACUACUAAUCAUGUACUCCCUCCAUUCGGAAUUACUUGUCUCGAAAAUAGAUGCAUCUAGAACUAAAAUACGUCUAGAUACAUCCAUUUCUGCGACAAGUAAUUCCGAACGGAGGGAGUAACUGAAAAAAAAGUGACGAAAACGUAUGCUUGAAGCGCGAACAGAUCAGCUAGAGUGAUAAAUGCUUGAGAGUUGAAGUUGGUCGUUGCCCCAGGCAGGACAUCCUACAGUCAGAGCAUCUUCAGCCGUUCGGCCCUUCAGGGCGUCGAAAAAGAGCCGCCUGGGGCGAACCGGCGCUAGAUUGGCCCCUGGGGUCGACUUAGCUCCCAGCCACGNNNNNNNNNNNNNNNNNNNNNNNNNNNNNNNNNNNNNNNNNNNNNNNNNNNNNNNNNNNNNNNNNNNNNNNNNNNNNNNNNNNNNNNNNNNNNNNNNNNNNNNNNNNNNNNNNNNNNNNNNNNNNNNNNNNNNNNNNNNNNNNNNNNNNNNNNNNNNNNNNNNNNNNNNNNNNNNNNNNNNNNNNNNNNNNNNNNNNNNNNNNNNNNNNNNNNNNNNNNNNNNNNNNNNNNNNNNNNNNNNNNNNNNNNNNNNNNNNNNNNNNNNNNNNNNNNNNNNNNNNNNNNNNNNNNNNNNNNNNNNNNNNNNNNNNNNNNNNNNNNNNNNNNNNNNNNNNNNNNNNNNNNNNACUUGGUCAUUCCCGCUCACAAAAAACGCCCAGUCCGGCGAUCAGCGGCCCAGUUCGGCAAUCGGAUGAAAAGUUUGGCGUACAAAAAAAGAAAGGACGCACAGUUUACGAGGAGAUUGGUGGUGUCGGCCUCCGGCGUCGGCGGAGUCGGCGUGCGCGAGCUUGGUGGUGUCGGAGCUGCUUCUAUGCUGGGCGGCGUCGGCGCGGCUUCUGUGCUGCUGGGCGUCGUGGAGGCAUCAUCGCUCGGGCUUGGCGGCGUCGUCGGCGUGAGCGUGGGAGUUGGCGGCGCUGUCGACGGCAGUUGGUUCAGGAUGAGGCCGCGCUCCGCCAGGUACCACGCCUUAAGCUACUCGUCGUUGCUCUGGAGCAUGUCCGCCCCCGCCCAUUAGAAAAGCCAGGUCGGUGUCCUCUUCUUCGCGACGACGUUGGUCCGGAGUAGGUUGAUACGUCUCCAACGUAUCUAUAAUUUUUUAUUAUUCCAUGCUAUUAUAUUAUCUGUUUUGGAUGUUUAAUGGGCUUUAUUAUACACUUUUAUAUUAUUUUUGGGACUAACCUACUAAUCAAAGGCCCAGUGCAAAUUGUUGUUUUUUGCCUAUUUCAGUGUUCCGCUGAAAAGGAAUAUCAAACAAAAUCCAAAUGAAAUGAAACCUUCGGGAGAGUGAUUUUUGGAACAAACGCAAUCCAGGAGACUUGGAGUGGACGUCAAGAAAGAAACGAAGAGGCCACGAGGCAGGAGGGCGCGCCCCCACCCUCGUGGGCCCCUCGUGGCUCCCCUGACCGACUUCUUUCGCCUAUAUAUACUCAUAUACCCCGAAAACAUCCGAAAGCACCACGAAACCCUAUUUCCACCGCCGCAACCUUCUGUACCCGUGAGAUCCCAUCUUGGGGCCUUUUCCAGCGCUCCGCCGGAGGGGGAAUCGAUCACGGAGGGCUUCUACAUCAACACCAUAGCCUCUCCGAUGAUGUGUGAGUAGUUUACCACAGACCUUCGGGUCCAUAGUUAUUAGCUAGAUGGCUUCUUCUCUCUCUUUGGGUCUCAAUACAAAGUUCUACUCGAUUCUCUUGGAGAUCUAUUCGAUGUAAUUCUUUUUGCGGUGUGUUUGUCGAGAUCCGAUGAAUUGUGGGUUUAUGAUCAAGAUUAUCUAUGAACAAUAUUUGAUUCUUCUCUGAAUUCUUUUAUGUAUGAUUUGUUAUCUUUGCAAGUCUUUUCGAAUUAUCAAUUGGGUUUGGCCUACUAGAUUGAUCUUUCUUGCAAUGGGAGAAGUGCUUAGCUUUGGGUUCAAUCUUAUGGUGUCCUUUCCCAGUGACAGCAGGGGCAGCAAGGCACGUAUUGUAUUGUUGCCAUCGAGGAUAAAAAGAUAGGGUUUAUAUCAUAUUGCUUGAGUUUAUCCCUCUACAUCAUGUCAUCUUGCCUACCGCGUUACUCUGUUCUUAUGAACUUAAUACUCUAGAUGCAUGCUGGAUAGCGGUCGUUGUGUGGAGUAAUAGUAGUAGAUGCAGAAUCGUUUCGGUCUACUUGUCGUGGACGUGAUGCCUAUAUACACGAUCAUGACUAGAUAUUCUCAUAACUAUGCACUUUUCUAUCAAUUGCUCGACAGUAAUUUGUUCAACCACCGUAAUACUUAUGCUAUCUUAAGAGAAGCCACUAGUGAAACCUAUGGCCCCCGGGUCUAUUUCCAUCAUAUAAGUUUCCAAUCCAUUUUACUUUGCAAUCUUUACUUUCAAUCUAUAUCAUAAAAAAUACCAAAAAAUUUAUCUUAUUAUCUCUGUCAGAUCUCACUUUUACAAGUGGCCGUGAAGGGAUUGACAACCCCUUUAUCGCGUUGGUUGCAAGGUUCUUAUUUGUUUGUGUAGGUAUGAGGCGACUUGCGUGUAGUCUCCUACUGGAUUGAUACCUUGGUUUUCAAAAACUGAGGGAAAUACUUACGCUACUUUGCUGCAUCACCCUUUCCUCUUUAAAGGAAAACCACGCAGUGCUCAAGAGGUAGCAUAGGUCCAGCUUGACGGCGAUGUUCAUCAUCAACGCCGACCACCACGCCUCGGUCUUCUCUUCACGCAGGGCGCCCCGAGCCUGUGCGUUGGCUAGGCAAUGCUCGAUGGACUCCUGCACUCGCGCAGUAGCCGAGUCGGUGUGUUUCCCCUUCUUGGCCCCUUUGUUGCCUUCGGGGCGCCCGUCGCCCGCGCCCGGCGUCGGCGCGUCCGGCUUGUAGGUCUCCUUGGCCUUGGCGAGGGUGCGCCGGACAUCCGCCUGCUUCUCGCACUUCUCGAUCUGCUUGAAGACGUGGACGUACUUGAAGUCUUGGUCGCUGCUGUCCUGGCGAUACAUGGCGAACAUCCGCAACAACCGCGCCAAGGAACAAACAGUUGGCAGGCGUGCACGGCGAAAAGAAGUGGGAGACCGGCGUGCCAUACCUGAUCCUCAAUGCUGGCGCCGCUCUUCGGGCGAGCCGCGAUCUCCUCGAUGAUCCCAUGCCAUUUGUUGCACGCCGAAUGGAUGAGCCCCCAAUGGUUCGCCAUUGCCUUCGACCCGCGCUGCAUGUAGACGCCUUUGAAAUAGGGGUCGACGAGCUUGCGCUCGUCGAACUCGUCCUUAAUGCGCUCCCAAUACGUCUCGAUGCUCUGGUUUGUGCCGGUGAUCAGGUCGAGGCAGACGACUUUCCGCGCUUCGACGAGACACGCUUGUCCUUGGACGCCCACUUGAUGCGCGGCUCGCCGGUCCUGGCCGCCCCCUUCUUCUUCUUGCGUUUCCUCGCCGGAGCCGCCGCCGGCUCCUCCUCCUCCUACUACUACUCGUCCCGCUCCUCCUCGCCGUACUCGGGCUCGCCGUCCAUGUCGUCGUUGAGGUCCAUCGUGUCGUCCUGGGUAGUGAACUCGGGGGACGCGGUGGCGGCGGCCGAGUCUGCCAUGAUGAUGUCAUCCAUGUCGGCUUCGAUCGCGUCGGUGUCGCCGAGAUGCGACGUGGAAGCUUGUGAGAAGGGCAGCGCACCACGGCGGAGAGGGGGCGUCGGGAAGGACGCGUAGGCCGGUGGUGAGUAGGUGUAUGGAGGGUACUGCAUGCCAGCGAAGGCGGGCGAGGGCGUGCGCUGGGCCGGGUGACCAUGGGGGAGGUGAUGUUGGGGUUGAACCCACCGUGCGCGUCCCCGUCGGCGUAGCCCGGCGACGGUGUGCAGCCCCAGGGUUGCGGUGACGACGAGAAGCCGGCCGGAGAAUCGACGCUUUGCUGGCUCCAGGGCGCGUACUGGGCGUGGCCGCCGGGUGGAUUCAUCAUCCCCACGCAAGCCGCCUCGGCUUGUUCGGCCGAGCGCUCCGCCUGAUCCGUCACAGUCGCGAGCGUCGGGCUGUCCCGGGCCUUCUUGGCGUUGGCCCUGUUCCGCCGGCCGGUGGUGACAGCCUCCCGACGCUGAACUUCCGCCCUUCAGUCGGCGUUUGACAUGCCGGGGGCUUGGACGGCGGCACCCUCGGCUUCCUCUGCUUCGGUUGGGCGACGAUGGCGGUCGCAGCCGUCGCGGUGCGGGGGAGCACGUAAUUCUUUGGUGGCAUGGCGGCCGGCUGGGAGGGGAGGAGGAGGAGAUUGGCGGGAGGAAUGGAGAGAAUGAGAGGGAAGCAGGGGGGAAGCAGGAAGAAACGGCGGGAAAAGGCCCUCCUCUCGCUGACAGAGCGCCCCCACGCCCCUUUUCGCUUGUGCCGGCGCCCACAGACGCCCCCAGCGCGCCGGGUUCGGCUCGGGUGCGCCGGCUGUUAUUUCGGCAUAACCCGGCGAAAAACGGGCUCCUGGGGGUGCGACUGGGACGAUUUUCGCCCGCCGGCGCUAAAAAAUCGCCGGGGGGGCCUGUUGGGGGCGCGGCUGAAGAUGCUCUCAAGCUUGGAGUGAUGAUGAUUCACUUGCAAAUGAGCCCGCAAUGAACAUUAAAAUUCAAAAAACAAAUUCAAAACAUCCUGAAUUUUUGUUGGUGAACUUUGACAAAUGUUUGGAGUGUCUGUAAAGUUUCAUCAUCGAAUGACAUUCGUGCAAGUCAUGGAAAAUGACGAAAUCAGCACUCGAGAAUGCUUUUGAAAUAGCACUUUUGGAGCAUCAAUUUCUAUUUUUUUCACGGCUUCCACGAAUGUAAUUCCAUGAUGAAUUUUUGUGAGCAAUCAAAAUAUUUGUCAAAGUUCGCCACAAAGAAAUCAGAAUUUUUGAAAUUUGUGUUCAAUUAUUUUGGAUUUUACUGUUCACCCAAGUUCAGAAACACGCGUUCAUUCACUUGCAUAUAUUCUCCCAAAUUACCAUUUUCAAACUUAAGUAGCCCUCAAAAAACUUAUUCCCACAUCUGACCUCCUAAUGAUGCGCAGACUGUUUAGCAUGAUAUAUACACAUGGCCAUCCAAACGCUUUGGCACGACUUAAAUUCGUGUUGGCAGCCCGUUCGACGUGGCAAAGAGCAAAGAUGCCAAAUCGAUUGGCAUCGCUACGUGUAUUAGACAUGCUAAAUCGUUUGGUGUCACUAUGUGUAUUAUUCGUGCCAAACGGUUUGGUGCGACUUUGUGGGGAAAGCUUUGAUAAUAAGUUUUUCAAGGAUUAGCGAUGUUAAAUUUGAAAAAAGGGUCAUUUAGUAGAAAUUAUACAAUUCGUUUAUAAUAGUUUGAUUUUUUGCAAGUGACAAGUCAUGAUUUUUUGGUAGAAAAAAGUUGCAUUAUUCAGUCAUGAGGAUUACAAUCAGCGAUGCAUCUGUACUCAACAUUUUCAAGACCAGAGCUUAACCAAAUAGCUACACGACCACUAUGUCUAGCAUAGUUUGCUAAGAAAUGACUAAUAGCGUGCAUGGUGUACUGGUUGGUUCGUGUACAAGUCACGGGUACAUAUAAAAGAAAACAGCCUAUUUGCACAUAAACUCAAGUCUAGUCACCGAAACGAUGUAUUUUGCGAGUUAUAGCAUCAAAGUGGUGUGUGAAAACGUCGACCUGAAACGUUUUCCUACCCUAGCCGCCGCCAGGAGGCGACUAGGGAGGGGAUCCCUUUUUCCAUCGAUCUCCACUGCGAGGGCGCUGGCCCCCUCUCCCUCCGGCUGCUGCUCCGGCGGCAGGAGGGAGGGGGGACCCCGUUCCUCCGUUCUGUAGUUAGGAUUUGGAUUUGUAGGUCGUGGUGCGUCGUUGGGGUGGUGGGAGCGGCGCCCGGACGAAUAAAUCUGCCUCAACUUCACCCCCACACCGGCUGUGUCUUUCAUGGCGGCGUCUCGGAGUUGAUGGUAUCGUAUGUUUGUCGAUCCUUCUGAUCAGCGGCGUUAGGGUUCAUGGAUAGUGUCGGCGAGGCGGCGGCGGCGACUUCAUCAGGUUUGUCUCUCUUUCUGCUCUGUCCUCGUUGCUGCGGCGUUGUCUCCGACGUCAUGGUGGAGAAGGGAGGUUUUGUCAUCCAAGAGUACGCGCAGAGGGUUGUCUACGCAAGUGACGGCUGGAAGAUGGUGCAUCUUGUGCUGGGUCUGCGGUUGGAGGCUGAUAGUUCUGAUUUCCUUCUCCGACGCCGUAGUCGUGCGGGGGUGUCAGUUCUGAAGUUCGAUGACGUGUCCGGGGACACGUUGCCCCGAUCUGAUUCUUUCAAUGGCAAUGGUUUUGCUUCAGGCAAACUAUUUUGGAGGUUCGUAAAGCUGUUGAUCAGCGAUGGAGCCGCGUCGAGUUCAGGUGAAGAGGUGAUAUGUCUCCUUUUCCUUAGUGGAGAGGGACAUGCGCUGGUUUUUUGCAUAGGAUUAUCCUAUCUUUUCAGUCCAAUAAUAUCCAUGUUUACGUGGCUUGUAAGUGAAUCUUUAUUUUAUUAAUAAGACACGUAUUACUAGAAAAAAAGCAUCAAAGUGGUCAUCGAGCGCAUGUUCUAGUACCGCUAGUGUAUUCAUCUCUAAAAAUAAAGCUUGAGCAAUGUUGAGCUACAUACAACCAACAAGAAAAGAAAUUAGUCACCUACAUUCCUAUACAUACAAGACAUGAAGAAAAUAAUUGAUUAAUUUGAACGAACAGUCACCUAGGCCCCGUCAUUUGUACCACUUGGGUUCAAGCAUUUGACAUGUGUUCCCUAGUAUUGCGUGCAUCGAAGAACUCCCUGAUCUGCUUCCAGUAAGUGUUCAUUGGUCACUCGCUACCGAUUGCUAUCUUUGGAAAAUUUUAAAAAAAUUGGACGUGGGUUAGCAAAAUAUUGUAGUGGCAGGCUUCUUUAGACACCCGCCACAGGUAGGAAGAGAAGCAGUGGUGGGUGCCGUAAAAUACCCUCUACUGUUGUUUCUGUCGUAUAUGGCUCAUUUUGUGCAACUUUAGCUGUGGCGAUGAGAAAUAGUGCCCACCACUUCCGCGGCUUUAGCAGUGGUCGGCAACUAAUUUCAACCGCCACUGGAACUUUUCCAAAAUAGCUAUGGCGGGUGCCUCACAAGCCCGUCACUAAUUUUAUUAGGGAACGUUACAUGAAAAACAAAAAAAAAUCUACGAUUCAUCCAUGAUCUAAUCUAUGAGAUGCUAGCAACGAGAGAGAGUGUGUCUACAUACCCCUUAUAGAUUGAAAGAGGAAACGUUCAAUGAAAGUACUUGAUGUAGUUGUAUUCUUCAUGAUCCAAUCCGAUUGAGUGCCGCACAAACGUCACCUCCGGGUUAAGCACACAUACGACUCGAUGAUGUCUCCUCCUUCUUGAUCCAGUAAGCGAGGGGACAGGUAGACGGGAUUUCUAGGCCAGCACGACGGCGUGGUGGUGGUGGAGGAGGACUUUCUGCAGAGCUUCUCCAAGCUGCUGUGGUGGGGGAAGUGAAGGGAGAGAAAGGCGGCGGCGGCCAGGUGCAUGGGUGGUGCACCCAGUCCUUCUCCUCCCUUUUAUAUAGGGGGUGCGGCCACCUUGACCCCUCCUCCAAGCCAGGGGGCAUCGCCCCCCACCAAGCCUAGGGGGUCGCAGCCCCCCUCUAAGCAAGGGGGCGGCGCCCCCCUCCAAGUCAAGGGGGCCGCGACCCCCGGCCCCUUAUCUUUUAGGGUUUACCCCCUAGGCGUGGGCCCUUGGGGGGCUGGUGCACCUGGCCCAUGUAGGCCAGGGCGCCCCCUCAGCCUAUGCAGGCCUCCGGGAUAGGCGGGACACACUGGUGGACCCCCGGAACCCUCCGGAACUCCCCAAUACAAAUACCGGAAAAGCCGAACUUUUUCCAAACCCUGAAAAACACUUUCCUUAUAUGAAAAUUUACCUCACGACUAUUCUGAAGCUCCUCAUGAUGUCCCGGAUCUCAUCCGAGACUCCAAACUACCUCCAGACUCGCCAUUAUGAAUAUCCCAAUACUACACUAGCAUUGCCGAACGUUAAGUGUUUGACCCUACGGGUUCGAGAAUAUGCAGACAUGACCGAGACACCUCUCCGAUCAAUAAUCAAUAACGGGACCUGGAUGCCCAUAAUGACUCCCAGAUAUUCAACAAAGAUCUUUAUCAGUUUGAACCACGAUGUCAAUGAUUCAGAUAAUCCUGUAUACAAUUCCCUUUAUCUCUCGAUAUUUUACUUGCCCGAGAUUCGACCGUCGGUAUCGCCGUACCUAGUUCAACCUUGUUACCGGCAAGUCUCUUUACUCGUUCCGUAAUACAAUAUCCCUGUGACUAAACACAUUAGUCACAUGCUUGCAAGCUACUUAGGAUGUCGUAUUACCGAGAGGGCCCAGAGAUAUCUCUCCGUCACAUGGAGUGAAAAAUCUCAAUCUCGAUCCAUGCAACCCAAUAAAUACUUUUCGAGAUACCUGAAGAGCACCUUUAUGAUCACGCAGUUAUGAAGUGUCGUUUGAUACCCACAAAGCAUUCUUCUGGUAUUAGAGAGUCGUACGCUCUCAUGGUCCAAGGAACAGACACUUGACAUUACAAAAUUUGUAGCAAUUAAACUAAGUGAUACGAUCAGAUGCUAAGCUUGUGAUUGUGUCUGUCCAUCACAUCAUUCUCCUAAUGAUGUGAUCAUGUUAUUAAAUGACAACUCAUGACUAUGGUUAGGAAACCUUAACCAUCUUUAAUCAACGAGCUAGUCUAGUAGGGGCUCACUAGGGACACAGUGUUUGUUUAUUUAUCCACACAUGUAUUUGAGUUUCCGGUUAAUAAAAUUAUAGCAUGGAGAAUAAAAAUUUAUCAAGAACAAGGAAAUAUGAUAAUAGCAACUUUAUUAUUGCCUCUAGGGCAUAUUUCCAACAAAUUUGAGCACACCUAUAAACCUUUUCCCAAUGGUGAACCGCAUUGAUCCCCUCUUAAUAACGUGACAUCCAUACUAACUCAAGAACAAAAGGGGUAAAGCUAUGAUUCACUUUGUUGUCACAUACGUCUUGAGCCAUUAGCAUUUUGGCGAGUAUAUGAUCCACAACACGAUGUGUUCAUGGGGACUAAACCUAUAGAUUUACUUAGCAAACAUAUUAGUCCCAUAUAAGUAUAUUGUCAUCAAUAUAAAAAUAUAAUUAAGGGCAUGAUUGCGCUCUCAAUACUCAUCAGUAGAUAGGUCAGACAUGUGAUUAUAGGCUCCACGGCCUUCACGACCACCAGCUCUACCAGCACCACACCCCCUUCCUCUCCCUUGACCAAACUACCUUCCACAUGCAUGCUCCAGAUAGCUUACAUAUCUUUGAAGAUCAGGCUAGACGGUGGAUGGACACCAUCUCCAUGCCAUUUGAACAUAUUACCAAGCAUUCCACGCACUGCACACCAGUUCGGGAGCCUCUCAUACUUAACUAUAAAGUGAAGGAAAUAUGCCCUAGAAGCAAUAAUAAAGUUGUUAUUUAUAUUUCCUUAUAUCAUGAUAAAUAUUUAUUAUUCAUGCUAGAAUUGUAUUAACCGGAAACUUAGUACAUGUGUGAAUACAUAGACCAACAGAGUGUCACUAGUAUGCCUCUACUUGACUAGCUCGUUAAUCAAAGAUGGUUAAGUUUCCUAGCCAUAGACAUGAGUUGUCAUUUUAUUAACGGGAUCACAUCAUUAGAGAAUGAUGUGAUUGACAAGACCCAUCCGUUAGCUUAGCACGAUGAUCGUUUAGUUUGUUGCUAUUGCUUUCUUCAUGACUUACAUGUUCCUAUGACUAUGAGAUUAUGCAACUCCCGAAUACCGGAGGAACACUUAGUGUGCUAUCAAAUGUCACAACGUAACUGGGUGAUUAUAAAGAUGCUCUACAGGUGUCUCCGAUGGUGUUUGUUGAGUUGGCAUAGAUCGAGAUUAGGAUUUGUCGCUCCGAUUGUCGGAGAGGUAUCUCUGGGCCCUCUCGGUAAUGCACAUCACUAUAAGCCUUGCAAGCAAUGUGACUAAUGAGUUAGUUACGGGAUGAUGCAUUAUGGAACGAGUAAAGAGACUUGCCGGUAACGAGAUUGAACUAGGUAUUGAGGCACCGACGAUCGAAUCUCGCGCAAGUAACAUACUGAUGACAAAGGGAACAACGUAUGUUGUUAUGCGGUUUGACCGAUAAAGAUCUUCGUAGAAUAUGUGGGAGCCAAUAUGAACAUCCAGGUUCCGCUAUUGGAUAUUGACCGGAGAUGAGUCUCGGUCAUGUCUACAUAGUUCUCGAACCCGUAGGGUCCGCACGCUUAACGUUCGAUGAUGAUCGGUAUUAUGAGUUUAUGUGUUUUGAUGUACCGAAGGUUGUUCGGAGUCCCGGAUGUGAUCUUGGACAUGACGAGGAGUCUCGAAAUGGUCGAGACAUAAAUAUCGAUAUAUUGGAAGGCUAUGUUUGGACACCAGAAUGGUUCCGGAUGAGUUCGGGCAUUUUCCGGAGUACCGGGAGGUUACCGGAACCCCCGGGGAGUCAAUGGGCCUUAUUGGGCCUUAGUGGAAGAGAGGAGGAGGCGGCCAGGUGGAGGGCGCUGUUGGGGAACGUAGUAUUUCAAAAAAAUUGCCUGCGAUCACGCAAGAUCUAUCUAGGAGAAGCAUCGCAACGAGCGGGGAGAGUGUGUCCACAUACCCUCGUAGACCGAAAGCGGAAGCGUUUAGUAACGCGGUUGAUGUAGUCGAACGUCUUCGCGAUCCAACCGAUCCAAGUACCGAACGCAUGGCACCUCCGUGAUCUACACACGUUCAGCUCGGUGAUGUCCCUCGAACUCUUGAUCCAGUUGAGGCCGAGGGAGAGUUUCGUCAGCACGACGGCGUGGUGACGGUGAUGAUGAAGUUACCGGCGCAGGGCUUCGCCUAAGUACUACGACGAUAUGACUGAGGUGUAAAACUGUGGAGGGGGCACCACA
rnacentral:lncRNA from 1 species